CACGUAGGGGGCAAGCGUUGUCCGGAUUUAUUGGGCGUAAAGAGCGUGUAGGCGGCCAGACAGGUCAGCUGUGAAGACUCGAGGCUCAACCUCGAGACGUCGGUUGAAACCGUCUGGCUAGAGUCCGGAAGAGGAGAGUGGAAUUCCCGGUGUAGCGGUGAAAUGCGCAGAUAUCGGGAAGAACACCCGUGGCGAAGGCGGCUCUCUGGGACGGUACUGACGCUGAGACGCGAAAGCGUGGGGAGCGAACAGG
rnacentral:rRNA from 1 species